GCUACUAGCUACGGCAGUGCAUAUUCUAAAAUUAGAACAACAGAGAGGAAAUUAGCAUGGCCCCUGUGCAACAAUGACAUGAAAAUUUAUGAAGCAUUCCAUAUUUAC
rfam:Octopus bimaculoides Scaffold85966_contig_58, whole genome shotgun sequence.